rnacentral:tRNA from 1 species
GAAUGUGGCUCUAGUGGUAGCACACUUGCCUGGAAUGCAUGUGGCCUGGGUUCUAUCCUCAGCACCACAUUCA